CGACGGCCCCCAACGGCGCCUCCCGCCGCCGGCAGACGGGGGGGGUGAGGACCGGGAGCCCCGCCGGGGCACCUUCUAUCCGCCGACGGUGCUGGCCGCCGAGUUAAGCGCUCGCCACGAUCCCGUCGUCGGGGACGAUUACCCCCGCGCUCAGAAGAGCGCUGGGCGCGUGGCGCAGUCCCUCGGUUCGGGGAAGCGGUGUGGCCUACUGGAAAGAGCUUGAACCCAGAAGUUAAAUGGACCCGUAUUCUAAUCCCGGCUCCGCCGCGUACCCGCUGUGCCACCUGUGUGAUUUCACUUCUCUGGGCCACAGUCACCUCAUCUGUAAAAUGGGGAUUUAAGACUGUGAGCCCCACGUGGGACUUAGACUGUAUCCAACCCGAUAGGCUUGUCUCUACCCUCCCUUUGUUCUGCCCCCCUGCUCCCCGCCCCACAGGACUUAAGUAUACAUCUGUAAUUCUAUUUAUUUAUAUUGA